rnacentral:tRNA from 1 species
GCGCACGGCUUAGUAGUUAGGGUAUUCAACUUACAAUUGUAAGGUUGUGAGUUCAAUUCUCAGCAGCGCA